rnacentral:rRNA from 1 species
GAUGAACGCUGGCGGCGUGCCUAAUACAUGCAAGUCGAGCGGACAGACGAUGAUCUUGCUGCGUGGACGUUAGCGGCGGACGUGUGAGUAACACGUGUAUAACCUCCCUAUAAGUCGGGGAUAACUUCGGGAAAGCGGAGCAAAUACCGGAGAAGAUAUUGAAGCGCAGUGGUCAAUAGUGAAAGACGGUGGUUCUGUCACGUAUAGAUGGAUCCGCGCCGGAUUAGGUAGUUGGUACGGUAACGGCUUAUCAAGGGGACGAAGCGUAGGCGACCGGAGAGGGUGAUCGGCCACACUGGAACGGAGACACGGCCCAGACGCCUACGGGAGGCAGCAGUAGGGAAUCGUCCGGAAUGGGCGAAAGACUGACGGAGCAACGCCGAGUGCGUGAUGAAGGUCUUCGGAUCGGAAAACUCUGUUAUCAGGGAAGAAACCAUGUGUAAGUAACUCUGCGCGUCUUGAAGGUAAAUAAUCAGAAAACCACGGCUAAACACGUG